UAGCCCACAGCAAUGGCGUGGCGCCGUCCUCCGCACUCCGUGUGUGGCAUCCCUUUUGCUCCUCCUCUGCUUUUCCUUUUGUGUCGCGCGUCCUUUCAUCUCCCUCGGGCGCGGCGUAGCAGCGGGGAGCUGUUGGAAACGGAGACAACGGCUCCGCCUAGGAUUUGGAGCCGGAUUGCAGAUUCCUUUGCGCUCCAAGCCACUACCAUAAAAAAGAAAUAUGGUGUCCAUUUCAUUAAAAAGAAGGUGUCCAUUUAUCUUGAGCCUUUACCGGCAAAAUUAUAAAUGAAAAUUAGAGGAUGCAACAACAUGAAAUGGAAUCAACUGGCCAACUGAUGGCCUUGGGCAUCAGACAUGGAAAACUCCAUCACACAAAUAUCGUCACCUGCAAAUCGUCAGUGGGUGGCCUCACACUGUCAUGUCCUUGUAUUGUUUGUGAGUCUUUGAGUGUUGCUUCUCCACAAAAUGGGGGUGACACCUUCUAAGCUUGAAGAUGACAAGGUUCUUGUGUUAUGCCAGGAGAGGAAGCGUUUAGUUAGAGAAGCAUUGGAUAGAAGAUGUGCACUUGCAGCUUGGAGCGCGAAGGAAUCCGCAAUCCGGCUCCAAAUCCCGGGUGGAGCUGUUGUCUCCGCUUCCGACCUACAACCCCCAGCUGCCACGCCGCGCCCAAGGGAAACGAAAGGACGUGCGACACAAAAGGAAAAGCACAGGAGGAGCAAACGGGAUGCCACACA